rnacentral:rRNA from 1 species
UACGUAGGGUGCGAGCGUUAAUCGGAAUUACUGGGCGUAAAGCGUGCGCAGGCGGUUUUUCAAGUCAGCUGUGAAAUCCCCGGGCUCAACCUGGGAAUGGCAUUUGUGACUGGAAGGCUAGAGUGUGUCAGAGGGGGGUAGAAUUCCACGUGUAGCAGUGAAAUGCGUAGAGAUGUGGAGGAAUACCGAUGGCGAAGGCAGCCCCCUGGGAUAACACUGACGCUCAGGCACGAAAGCGUGGGGAGCAAACAGG